rnacentral:rRNA from 1 species
CCUACGGGAGGCAGCAGUAGGGAAUCUUCCGCAAUGGACGAAAGUCUGACGGAGCAACGCCGCGUGAGCGAUGAAGGCCUUCGGGUCGUAAAGCUCUGUUGUUAGGGAAGAAUAAGUGCUAGUUGAAUAAGCUGGCACCUUGACGGUACCUAACCAGAAAGCCACGGCUAACUACGUGCCAGCAGCCGCGGUAAUACGUAGGUGGCAAGCGUUGUCCGGAAUUAUUGGGCGUAAAGCGCGCGCCAGGCGGUUUCUUAAGUCUGAUGUGAAAGCCCCCUGGCUCAACCGGGGAGGGUCAUUGGAAACUGGGUAAACUUGAGUGCAGAAGAGGAAAGUGGAAUUCCAAGUGUAGCGGUGAAAUGCGUAGAGAUUUGGAGGAACACCAGUGGCGAAGGCGACUUUCUGGUCUGUAACUGACGCUGAGGCGCGAAAGCGUGGGGAGCAAACAGGAUUAGAUACCCUGGUAGUCCACGCUGUAAACGAUGAGUGCUAAGUGUUAGAGGGUUUCCGCCCUUUAGUGCUGAAGUUAACGCAUUAAGCACUCCGCCUGGGGGAGUACGGUCGCAAGACUGAAACUCAAAGGAAUUGACGGGGGCCCGCACAAGUGGUGGAGCAUGUGGUUUAAUUCGAAGCAACGCGAAGAACCUUAC